rnacentral:rRNA from 1 species
UACGUAGGGUGCGAGCGUUGUCCGGAUUUAUUGGGCGUAAAGAGCUCGUAGGCGGCUUGUCGCGUCGAAUGUGAAAUCUCAGGGCUCAACCCUGACAUUGCAUUCGAUACGGGCAGGCUAGAGUUCGGUAGGGGAGACUGGAAUUCCUGGUGUAGCGGUGAAAUGCGCAGAUAUCAGGAGGAACACCGAUGGCGAAGGCAGGUCUCUGGGCCGAUACUGACGCUGAGGAGCGAAAGCGUGGGGAGCGAACAGG